GAUGAACGCUGGCGGCGUGCCUAAUACAUGCAAGUAGAACGCUGAAGGAAGGAGCUUGCUCUUUCCGGAUGAGUUGCGAACGGGUGAGUAGCGCGUAGGUAACCUGCCUGGUAGCGGGGGAUAACUAUUGGAAACGAUAGCUAAUACCGCAUAACAGUAGAUGUUGCAUGAUAUCUACUUAAAAGGUGCAAUUGCACCACUACCAGAUGGACCUGCGUUGUAUUAGCUAGUUGGUGAGGUAACGGCUCACCAAGGCGACGAUACAUAGCCGACCUGAGAGGGUGAUCGGCCACAAUGGGAAUGAGACACGGCCCAGACUCCUACGGGAGGCAGCAGUAGGGAAUCUUCGGCAAUGGACGGAAGUCUGACCGAGCAACGCCGCGUGAGUGAAGAAGGUUUUCGGAUCGUAAAGCUCUGUUGUAAGAGAAGAACGAGUGUGAGAGUGGAAAGUUCACACUGUGACGGUAUCUUACCAGAAAGGGACGGCUAACUACGUG
rnacentral:rRNA from 1 species